rnacentral:rRNA from 1 species
AUACGGAAGGUGCAAGCGUUAAUCGGAAUCACUGGGCGUAAAGCGCUCGUAGGUGGCUUUGUAAGUCAGGUGUGAAAGCCCACGGCUCAACCGUGGAAUUGCACUUGAUACUGCAUUGCUUGAGUUCGGGAGAGGGUAGUGGAAUUCCAGGUGUAGGAGUGAAAUCCGUAGAGAUCUGGAGGAACACCAGUGGCGAAGGCGGCUUACUGGACUGUAACUGACGUUGAGGCUCGAAAGCGUGGGGAGC